AUAGAGUGUGGACUCUUCACUCUUGGGAGAAGUACGAAUGCAUCAAAAGAUGAAGCUCCUGUCUCUAUAUUCGUUAUUUCUUUGGGUCUCAAUUCUCUAUAUUCGUAUAAUGAAUAUCAUCACAAUAUCAUAUUAAGGCCCAUGGGCUAAAGAAUAUAAAGGGCUCGUAGAGUGAUCUCAGAAUCAGUUUUUCUUUUUAUCUGAGAAGUUCCACACCUACAAAAAAAAGUUAUCCCAAGAUAUACGUCACAUAAACACAAACAAAAAGACGUGAUCCAAUGAUAUUUAUCCCCAUCAAGUUUGAUAUUUCUGCUUUUUCUUCAGCUUAAAUUCACAAGUUGUUGCGAGCCACCUUCCAUGACGAUGAUGGAUCUAACGGAUUCCAUGACACCAAAGACUAUGUAAUGCGUGAAGGAAACUGAAAUCUUUAGCUUCAAUAGAAUUAACGCUCUUUCCAAUAGAUGAACUUCUUGCAAACAUGAAGACAUCUGACUCGUCUCGAGCUAUCCAACCCAAACCCAUUGGAGCAUUUGCUUCUUUAAAACUGCCAUCGUGGUUGCUAUCUAUCCAUCCAUUAUAUUAGAUGAGUGGUGCCAAGUUGUAUUCGUUGU
rnacentral:lncRNA from 1 species